CAAAAAUACCAUCUCCCUCUUUUCUUUCUUCAAACGCCAGUAUACUCUUCCUCUUUUCUUUCUGCAGAGUUUCUUCAAAGCUCUAACUUGUGAUGAUUGAAUAUAUAAGCUAUCUUUUUGAGAUCACUUUUAACACGAUAAAAGGCAGAUGAAGCUGGGCCAAAUUUCUUUUGCAAAAUCGUUGCCAAGUUUAAUCUGGAUUUGUUCCUCCUACUGGGGGGUUAGGUUAGUUUCACCUUAGACAAUUUAUAUUUUUAGCCCUAAAAAUAAAAAAUUCUGAAUUUUGCCCCCCUUAAAAAAAAAAUUGCCACCCCUAAAAAAAACGCUAUUCCUAUCUUCGCCCAGCAUGCAGUUAUUAAGAACUCUUACUAGUGAUGCAACCAGGGGAAAAGAUAAACCCAAAGACAUUGGCAGCAAGGAGCACAUUGUGCAUGAAAAUAUGCUUAGGUUCAAAUCUACGCUAAGAGAUCAAGCAGGAAGGCAAUGUCGAGAGAAUUUCCAUAACAAAGAAUAUUACGGUAUUUGUUUUUGCACGCGUAAAAAAAAGAAAACAAUACACAGAGCAAUGAGAAUGACUUUGUAUCUCACGCUCGUAUUCUCAGUUUUCACACAAUGAGCGGCGGUCAUUGCCAAAUAAUUGGGGGAACAGAAUUA